GGCAGCAGUUUUCUGGACUUGGUAACUUCUGUCCUUCUCUAACCACAGGUGUUACCGAGUACAAACUCUACGUAAUGGGACUAAUUAGAAUAAAUGAAACCCCCUACUAGUGAAUAUCUUGAGUUACUGUAUCUAUCUGAUGUUCCUGUCUCGAGAAAUUGACAAACUUGGUUAAAAUUAUACCUAAACUGAUAUAUCCCGUGUCAUGAGACACGCGACACUGCCAAUAAAACUGCACUGUGAUUCGGACGUAUAAAUAAUAUCUGUAAUUGUAUCUACUAAAAAUAAAUAUCAUUAAAUUCAAA